rnacentral:rRNA from 1 species
AUACCGCGUGUGUGAAGAAGGCCUUCGGGUUGUAAAGCACUUUAAGCAGGGAGAAAAAGUUAUAGGUUAAUACCUUAUAACCCUGAUGUUACCUGCAGAAUAAGCACCGGCUAAUUCCGUGCCAGCAGCCGCGGUAAUACGGAAGGUGCAAGCGUUAAUCGGAAUUACUGGGCGUAAAGCGCGCGUAGGUGGUUUGUUAAGUUGGAUGUGAAAGCCCUGGGCUCAACCUAGGAACUGCAUCCAAAACUAACUCACUAGAGUACGAUAGAGGGAGGUAGAAUUCAUAGUGUAGCGGUGGAAUGCGUAGAUAUUAUGAAGAAUACCAGUGGCGAAGGCGGCCUCCUGGAUCUGUACUGACACUGAGGUGCGGAAGCGUGGGUAGCGAACAGGAUUAGAUACCCUGGUAGUCCACGCCGUAAACGAUGAUAACUAGCCGUUGGGAGGGUUUACCCCUUAGUGGCGAAGCUAACGCGUUAAGUUAUCCGCCUGGGGAGUACGGCCGCAAGGUUAAAACUCAAAGGAAUUGACGGGGACCCGCACAAGCGGUGGAGCAUGUGGUUCAAUUCGAUGCAACGCGAAGAACCUUACCUGGUCUUGACAUACACGGAACUUUCCAGAGAUGGAUUGGUGCCUUCGGGAACCGUGAUACAGGUGCUGCAUGGCUGUCGUCAGCUCGUGUCGUGAGAUGUUGGGUUAAGUCCCGUAACGAGCGCAACCCUUAUCCUUAUUUGCCAGCACAUUAUGGUGGGAACUAUAAGGAG